UAUAAAAAGCAAACAUUUCUCACAGUUUGGAACAUUGAAGUCUGGGAUCAGAAUGCCAGCAUCAAUGAGCUUUGUGACACUUCUACCAGGUUAUGUCUUCCAUAUCCUUCAUUCAUGCAUGCCUGCAUAGCAAGAUCUUCUGUCUCUUCCUCUUUUUAGAAGAGUAUUAAUUUCAUCACAAAGGCCCCACCCUUGUGACCUAGUCCAAUCCUGAUUACCUCCCAAGACCAUACCUCUCAAUACAAUCACACUGGAGAUUAGAAUUUCAACAUGUGGACUUUGUGGGUCACGAACAUGUAAUUCAUAACACAGAGCUAUAACGGAACCAGAAAAUGUAGCACAGACCUGCAUAGCUUGAAGAGCAAGCUGGCAGGCAGACAGUAGAUCAAAAAUGUAUGCAUACCACCAGGCAGCAAAGCCAGUAAGCAAACCAAAGCAAAAGAACAAAGACCCCUGGUGGUGAUAGACAUCUUACUCAUGGUGCCAAUGCUUGUGUCUACCCAUAAGGAGCCAUACAGACCCCAACCCAAAGAUAGGGUUCUAAUGUCAAGACUGAUGAUAUCAUAUCCACAUGAAGAGUAGGUGAAAAUGUUUAUUACUUACCAAAUGAAGCUUUCUGGGGACAGCAAGUCAGAGUUCUCAAGGAAAUCCAAAAAUGGCUUCAGAAGGCCUUCAGACUCAAACUAGGAUUUAUACCAUUGACUGCCCUGAUUUUCAGACCUUAGAGUGUGUGCUAAAACUAUACCACCAGUUUCCUGGGUCUCUGGAUUGAGGAUGGCAGAUUGUGAAACCUCCAUAAUCAUACUGAAAUACUCUUCUGACAUGUCCUCGUUAUCCCUGAUUCAGGAAGCCAACUUUUUUCCCUCUUCACAAAUACACAUACUCUGUUAUUUCAGCUUUUGAAACCCAGCUUAUGCAUCAAAAACCAAGUAAAAGGUAAUUUCCAAGAAGUGUUCCUUAUGUUCAACAAUAAACAAAUAUUCCACUUCUGCAGCCAUAAUUUCAUUGUUUUUCUCUUAGUCUGCAAUGAAU
rnacentral:lncRNA from 1 species